rnacentral:lncRNA from 1 species
GCUAAAUCCUAAAAACGAGCUAGGGAAACAAAAAGGGAAGAUAGAAAAACUUUGCUUGUGGACUAUACGUGGAUCUGCUACUUCUACAAGCUGACCUGUGGCUUUCUGCUGAUCCUGUGGAGAAAGAAGGCCACCACCUCCCAAAGGAUGUUGAUGUUGACCUACACUGGAAGAGUGAAUUUGGAAAAAAUGCAGCAGCAGAGAGAAAGUGAGAAGUCUGGACAGGUGACUCUCAACAGGAGAAGUUCAAGAUCGCUGGUGAAUGGAAGCUUUACAGGUCCUUUCUUGGAAAGGAACAAUAUUAAAAACUUCCCAAUGAAGGGAGCAACGUGGGAGAAUGCUGAAAUACUGAAGGUUGAAGAGACAAGCUCUGCAGAGCCUCAAUGGAAGAGAGACUGCUGCUGCCUCCCCCAUUCCUCCCACUGCUCCCUGGGGCUGAGUGGGGCAUGA